rnacentral:rRNA from 1 species
CCCUUAGAUGUCCUGGGCCGCACGCGCGCUACACUGACAUGUUCAACAAGUUUCUCCUAGUUCGACAGGACUGGGAAAUCUUUGAACGCAUGUCGUGAUAGGGAUAGAUCAUUGCAACUAUUGAUCUUGAACGAGGAAUUCCUAGUAAACGCGAGUCAUCAGCUCGCAUUGAUUACGUCCCUGCCCUUUGUACGCACCGCCCGUCGCACCUACCGAUUGAAUGUUUCGGUGAAGAUUCCGGAUAGGACUGAUUUGAUUUAUUUCAUUUCUGACCUAAAAGCUAUCUAAACCUCAACAUUUAGAGGAAGGUGAAGUCGUAACA